rnacentral:rRNA from 1 species
GACGAACGCUGGCGGCGUGCCUAAUACAUGCAAGUAGAACGCUGAAGGAGGAGCUUGCUUCUCUGGAUGAGUUGCGAACGGGUGAGUAACGCGUAGGUAACCUGCCUGGUAGCGGGGGAUAACUAUUGGAAACGAUAGCUAAUACCGCAUAAGAGUAGAUGUUGCAUGACAUUUGCUUAAAAGGUGCAAUUGCAUCACUACCAGAUGGACCUGCGUUGUAUUAGCUAGUUGGUGGGGUAACGGCUCACCAAGGCGACGAUACAUAGCCGACCUGAGAGGGUGAUCGGCCACACUGGGACUGAGACACGGCCCAGACUCCUACGGGAGGCAGCAGGAGGGAAUCUUCGGCAAUGGACGGAAGUCUGACCGAGCAACGCCGCGUGAGGGAAGAAGGUUUUCGGAUCGUAAAGCUCUGUUGUAAGAGAAGAACGAGUGUGAGAGUGGAAAGUUCACACUGUGACGGUAUCUUACCAGAAAGGGACGGCUAACUACGUG